rnacentral:tRNA from 1 species
ACACUGGUAGUUCAUUGGUAGAAUUCUUGCCUUCCAUACAGGAGACCUGGGUUCAAUUCCCAGCCAGUGCA